rnacentral:rRNA from 1 species
UACAGAGGGUGCGAGCGUUGUCCGGAAUCACUGGGCGUAAAGGGCGCGUAGGCGGCCUGAUAAGUAGGGGGUGAAAUCCUGUGGCUUAACUGCAGGGCUGCCUCCUAGACUGUCGGGCUCGAGCACGGUAGAGGCAGAUGGAAUUCCCGGUGUAGCGGUGGAAUGCGUAGAGAUCGGGAAGAACAUCGGUGGCGAAGGCGGUCUGCUGGGCCGUUGCUGACGCUGAGGCGCGACAGCGUGGGGAGCAAACAGG